rnacentral:piRNA from 1 species
UUUAAUCGAAAUGUCCACUGU